CCCUUAGAUGUUCGGGGCCGCACGCGCGCUACACUGAAGGACUCAGCGUGUCUCUCCCCCUAUCCCGAAAGGGAUGGGCAACCCGUUGAACCUCCUUCGUGCUAGGGAUUGGGGUUUGCAAUUAUCCCCCAUGAACGAGGAAUUCCCAGUAAGCGCGAGUCAUCAGCUCGCGUUGAUUACGUCCCUGCCCUUUGUACACCCCGCCCGUCGCUACUACCGAUUGGAUGGUUUAGUGAGACCCUCGGAUCGGUCCCGACUCGGGGUGGGCUUCUGCCCCGGUCGUGGUUUCGCCGAGAAGACGGUCAAACUUGACUAUCUAGAGGAGGUAAAAGUCGUAACA
rnacentral:rRNA from 1 species